rnacentral:rRNA from 1 species
AACGAACGCUGGCGGCAUGCCUAACACAUGCAAGUCGAACGAGACCUUCGGGUCUAGUGGCGCACGGGUGCGUAACGCGUGGGAACCUGCCCUUAGGUUCGGAAUAACUCCCCGAAAGGGGUGCUAAUACCGGAUAAUGUCUUCGGACCAAAGAUUUAUCGCCUUUGGAUGGGCCCGCGUUGGAUUAGCUAGUUGGUAGGGUAAAAGCCUACCAAGGCGACGAUCCAUAGCUGGUCUGAGAGGAUGAUCAGCCACACUGGGACUGAGACACGGCCCAGACUCCUACGGGAAGCAGCAGUGGGGAAUAUUGGACAAUGGGCGAAAGCCUGAUCCAGUAAUGCCGCGUGAGUGAUGAAGGCCUUAGGGUUGUAAAGCUCUUUUACCCGGGAUGAUAAUGACAGUACCGGGAGAAUAAGCUCCGGCUAACUCCGUG